GUGCCUAAAUUUAAUGAGUAAGGAAAACCAUGUUGGUCUUGCUAAUCGCUCGACUGGUUGCUUCUAAGGCAGUGGGAUGAAAUUCCGUCGGGUAUCACUUUUCCUUUAGUGGUUCGAUCGAUAUGAAGUCCCAUAUGAAGCGCAAAUUUUUGAAAGGGUACAGGUCGUCCCAUUGGACUCAUGAGCUUACUACUCUUUCGAGCUGUAGAGUUCGGGUGAAGCGAUCUGCCCU
rnacentral:snRNA from 1 species